UGGAGGAAAGCAGGGGAUCGUAAGACCUUGUGCUUUUGGAGUGGCCGAUGCCUGAUUAGCUAGUUGGUGGGGUAAGAGCCUACCAAGGCGACGAUCAGUAGUUGGUCUGAGAGGACGACCAGCCACACUGGGACUGAGACACGGCCCAGACUCCUACGGGAGGCAGCAGUGGGGAAUUUUGGACAAUGGGCGGAAGCCUGAUCCAGCAAUGCCGCGUGAGUGAAGAAGGCCUUCGGGUUGUAAAGCUCUUUCAGUCGAGAAGAAAAGGUUGUGACUAAUAAUCGCAACUUAUGACGGUAUCGACAGAAGAAGCACCGGCUAACUACGUGCCAGCAGCCGCGGUAAUACGUAGGGUGCGAGCGUUAAUCGGAAUUACUGGGCGUAAAGGGUGCGCAGGCGGCUCUGUAAGUCAGAUGUGA
rnacentral:rRNA from 1 species